rnacentral:sRNA from 1 species
GGGAAGAGAGACUACAUAGACCAUGUCAGCCAAGUCCAGCCUGUGGAUGGUGUCGUGUUGGUUGAUCCUGAUCUUGUGAAGGGAAAGAAAGGGACCUGUACUUCUCCCGGGUCCAGGUGUAUCCUCCUGUGGGGGCCGCGAGCACCCCCACAAAACUGCAAGAGAGCCUGCUCAAAAAGCUGGGGAGCAACACGUACCCCUUUCUCCUGACGUUUCCUGACUACUUGCCCUGUUCAGUGAUGUUGCAGCCAGCUCCACAAGAUUCAGGGAAGUCCUGUGGGGUUGACUUUGAGGUCAAAGCAUUCGCCACAGACAGCACCGAUGCCGAAGAGGACAAAAUCCCCAAGAAGAGCUCCGUGCGAUUACUGAUCCGCAAAGUACAGCAUGGCCCACUUGAGAUGGGUCCCCAGCCCCGAGCUGAGGCGGCCUGGCAGUUCUUCAUGUCUGACAAGCCCCUGCACCUUGCGGUCUCUCUCAACAAAGAG